GCCAGGCAUGGUGGUGCAUGCUUGUAAUCCCAGCUACUUGGGAGGCUGAGGCAGGAGAAUCACUUGAGCCCAGGAGGCGGAGGUUGCAGUGAGCCAAGAUUGCACCACUGCACUCCAGCCUGGGCAGUAAAGGGAGAUUCUGUCUCAA
rnacentral:SRP_RNA from 1 species